rnacentral:rRNA from 1 species
UACGAAGGGGGCGAGCGUUGUUCGGAAUUACUGGGCGUAAAGGGCGCGUAGGCGGCGAACCAAGUCAGAUGUGAAAGUCCUGGGCUUAACCUGGGGACUGCAUUUGAUACUGGUUUGCUUGAAUUCGGGAGAGGAUAGCGGAAUUCCCAGUGUAGAGGUGAAAUUCGUAGAUAUUGGGAGGAACACCAGUGGCGAAGGCGGCUACCUGGACCGGUUCUGACGCUGAGGCGCGAAAGCGUGGGUAGCAAACAGG